GUAACCGCGGGGACGUGUCCCCGCCUGCAAGUACCGGACGAAUAAGGGUCGGCUAACUCCGUGCCAGCAGCCGCGGUAAUACGGAGGACCCGAGCGUUAUCCGGAUUCAUUGGGUUUAAAGGGUGCGCAGGCGGCCCGGUCAGUCAGCGGUGAAAUGCCCGCGCUCCACGCGGGAGCUGCCGUUGAUACUGCCGGGCUAGAAUCUCAGCGAGGCGGGCGGAAUGCGCGGUGUAGCGGUGAAAUGCAUAGAUAUCGCGCAGAACGCCGAUUGGGGAGCCAGCUCGCCAGCUGGGUAUUGACGCUGAGGCACGAAAGCGUGGGGAUCGAACAGGAUUAGAUACCCUGGUAGUCCACGCCGUAAACGAUGAUGGCUCGCUCUUGGCCGGAAACGGUCAGGGGCUUAGCGAAAGCGUUAAGCCAUCCACCUGGGGAGUACG
rnacentral:rRNA from 1 species